UCCGCAAUGGACGAAAGUCUGACGGAGCAACGCCGCGUGAGUGAUGAAGGUUUUCGGAUCGUAAAGCUCUGUUGUUAGGGAAGAACAAGUGCGAGAGUAACUGCUCGCACCUUGACGGUACCUAACCAGAAAGCCACGGCUAACUACGUGCCAGCAGCCGCGGUAAUACGUAGGUGGCAAGCGUUGUCCGGAAUUAUUGGGCGUAAAGGGCUCGCAGGCGGUUUCUUAAGUCUGAUGUGAAAGCCCCCGGCUCAACCGGGGAGGGUCAUUGGAAACUGGGAAACUUGAGUGCAGAAGAGGAGAGUGGAAUUCCACGUGUAGCGGUGAAAUGCGUAGAGAUGUGGAGGAACACCAGUGGCGAAGGCGACUCUCUGGUCUGUAACUGACGCUGAGGAGCGAAAGCGUGGGGAGCGAACAGGAUUAGAUACCCUGGUAGUCCACGCCGUAAACGAUGAGUGCUAAGUGUUAGGGGGUUUCCGCCCCUUAGUGCUGCAGCUAACGCAUUAAGCACUCCGCCUGGGGAGUACGGUCGCAAGACUGAAACUCAAAGGAAUUGACGGGGGCCCGCACAAGCGGUGGAGCAUGUGGUUUAAUUCGAAGCAACGCGAAGAACCUUACCAGGUCUUGACAUCCUCUGACAACCCUAGAGAUAGGGCUUUCCCUUCGGGGACAGAGUGACAGGUGGUGCAUGGUUGUCGUCAGCUCGUGUCGUGAGAUGUUGGGUUAAGUCCCGCAACGAGCGCAACCCUUGAUCUUAGUUGCCAGCAUUUAGUUGGGCACUCUAAGGUGACUGCCGGUGACAAACCGGAGGAAGGUGGGGAUGACGUCAAAUCAUCAUGCCCCUUAUGACCUGGGCUACACACGUGCUACAAUGGACAGAACAAAGGGCUGCGAGACCGCAAGGUUUAGCCAAUCCCAUAAAUCUGUUCUCAGUUCGGAUCGCAGUCUGCAACUCGACUGCGUGAAGCUGGAAUCGCUAGUAAUCGCGGAUCAGCAUGCCGCGGUGAAUACGUUCCCGGGCCUUGUACACACC
rnacentral:rRNA from 1 species